rnacentral:rRNA from 1 species
UACGUAGGGUGCAAGCGUUGUCCGGAAUUAUUGGGCGUAAAGAGCGUGUAGGCGGCCUGGCAAGUCCGCUGUGAAAACUCGAGGCUUAACCUCGAGACGUCGGUGGAAACUGCCUGGCUAGAGUCCGGAAGAGGAGAGUGGAAUUCCUGGUGUAGCGGUGAAAUGCGCAGAUAUCAGGAAGAACACCCGUGGCUAAGGCGGCUCUCUAGUACGGUACUGACGCUGAGACGCGAAAGCGUGGGGAGCGAACAGG